AAAGUGCGAUAACUAGUGUGAAUUGCAUAUUCAGUGAAUCAUCGAGUCUUUGAACGCAACUUGCACUCUAUGGUUUUCCGUAAAGUACGCUUGCUUCAGUAUCAUAAAGACCCCAUCCUGAUUAUUAUUUUUUUAUUAAAAUAAUUAAUUUUGGAGAUA
rnacentral:rRNA from 1 species